rnacentral:rRNA from 1 species
UCAGACGAUGCGUCAUGUAUAUCAAUAAGCGGAGGAAAAGAAACUAACAAGGAUUCCCCUAGUAACGGCGAGUGAAGCGGGAAGAGCUCAAAUUUGAAAUCUUAAAGGGUUUCCCUUUACGAAUUGUAGUUUAAAGAAGUGUUUUCUGUUGAGGUUUUGGUAAAAGUUCUUUGGAAUAGGACAUCAUAGAGGGUGAGAAUCCCGUAUUUGACCUUUACUUUCAACUUUGUGAUACACUUUCAAUGAGUCGGAUUGUUUGGGAAUGCAGUCCAAAAUGGGUGGUAAAUUUCAUCUAAAGCUAAAUAUUGGCGAGAGACCGAUAGCGAACAAGUACCGUGAGGGAAAGAUGAAAAGAACUUUGAAAAGAGAGUUAAACAGUACGUGAAAUUGUCAAAAGGGAAGCGUUUGACACCAGUGUUGUUUUUCUGAAAAUCAAUUAAAGAACUGUUUAUGCUAAGUUGUUUAGACUUUAUCAGCUAUCUGUUUAGUUUUGAGCUUUUCUUUAAUGCACUUUUCAGUUAACAAGUCAACAUCAAUUUCUUUUGCUGUAAAAAAGCUUGAGGAAGGUGGCUUGAGAUUCGUCUUAAGUGUUUAUAGCCUCUUGCCUAUGCAGUCGGAGAGAUUGAGGUCUGCAGCGUAGAUCCUUCGGGGCUAAAUGCAUUUGUGCUAAGUUAUAGCAUUUCAUAGACAACUUGUUGACUAUGAUUUGUCUUGUAGCUUACUCGCUUAUGUUAUUUUACCUACGCUUAGGAUGUUGACACACGCGCGUGCUCG